GGGCGCUUAGCGCAGGGGUAGCGCGUUCGCUUCGCACCACUGGAUUACGUAAUAAAUCACGUGAUGCAUGCGAAAGGUCGUUGGUUCAAAUCCUACAGUGUCCA